rnacentral:miRNA from 1 species
UCAGUGGAUCUGUGCUCGACAGU